GGGGAUGUAGCUCAGUGGUAGAGCGUCCGCUUUGCAUGCGGAAGGCCCGGGGUUCGAUCCCCCGCAUCUCCA
rfam:Nematostella vectensis strain CH2 x CH6 NEMVEscaffold_161_Cont16368, whole genome shotgun sequence.